GUCAGGAUGGCCGAGUGGUCUAAGGCGCCAGACUCAAGGUUGACAACCUUCCUCACAAAGGAGUGUUCUGGUCUCCGAAUGGAGGCGUGGGUUCGAAUCCCACUUCUGACA
rnacentral:tRNA from 1 species